rnacentral:rRNA from 1 species
AUUGAACGCUGGCGGCAGGCCUAACACAUGCAAGUCGAACGGUAACAGGAAGCAGCUUGCUGCUUUGCUGACGAGUGGCGGACGGGUGAGUAAUGUCUGGGAAACUGCCUGAUGGAGGGGGAUAACUACUGGAAACGGUAGCUAAUACCGCAUAACGUCGCAAGACCAAAGAGGGGGACCUUCGGGCCUCUUGCCAUCGGAUGUGCCCAGAUGGGAUUAGCUAGUAGGUGGGGUAACGGCUCACCUAGGCGACGAUCCCUAGCUGGUCUGAGAGGAUGACCUGCCACACUGGAACUGAGACACGGUCCAGACUCCUACGGGAGGCAGCAGUGGGGAAUAUUGCACAAUGGGCGCAAGCCUGAUGCAGCCAUGCCGCGUGUAUGAAGAAGGCCUUCGGGUUGUAAAGUACUUUCAGCGGAGAGGAAGGGAGUAAAGUUAAUACCUUUGCUCAUUGACGUUACCCGCAGAAGAAGCACCGGCUAACUCCGUG